CAAGGGGAGCCCUGGGAGUGUGGAAGAGAGCCUGACCUUGACAUGUGCCUGGACUCUGCCCAGGGCUGCUGAGGCUGGGCUGCUUGAGUCACCAGGCUUGGCCGUAAGCCUGGGCAUUGGGGUCAGGGCCCAGGCGGACUUCCCUCCUCCUGCACUCCCUCCUGACCUCAGAGUUUGCGGAGGAUCCCGAAGGAGAUGCAGCCUCUUGUGGCUCCAAGACCUGGAGCAGGAAGCCCAAGGAGAGGAUGCAGAGAAAAGAGGAGGCCAAGAGAGAGAAGGAUGGGAGGUGGCAGAGGGGGUGAGGGGACAGAAGGGGAGGGGUGGAGGGGCCAAGGAGAGAGGCAAGAGGGGGCCCAGGAGCUGGCAGAACAGGGAGGCGAGAGCAGAGUGAGAGACAAAGGAGAGAAAGGGGCAGAUGGGACCAGAAAGGCCUCAGGUUCAAGAAGGGGGUGAGAGAACCCAAGGGAUGCAGAGGAAGAGGCCGAGCACUGCUGGACGUCUUUUCGCCAAAGGGGCUCAUGUCAAAGGGCGGAAGGUCUUCAUGUCUGGGAGCUAAUGGGGUUGAGUCAACAACUGAAAACGGAUGAGGCCAGACUGACUGAAGGGCCCAAGCCAUGGGACAGCCAGGACCUCUGUGCUGACCAGAUCUGUCUACCAGGAUCUUCAUUCUAAGACCGGCCUCCCACACCGAGGCCCCUUUCUCCCAGGACCUACCUUCUCGGAACCUUGGCUGACUGGGAAAAGUCUCUAUCCUGUGCUGACUGGCUGCAUUUCCAACACAUCACCCCAUAUGUCACAUGGACCCCCCAGACACUGCACACCCUUCUACACGUCCCUUACAGGUUUCCUUUCCCAAUCUACUUUUUACAUCUUCUCGGUCCUUUUAUCUCCUACAUCUCAGCUCAUGAUCCUGAUUCAUUCAUCCUUCCAAAAGAAAGGAGUCAGCUCCUUCACCAGUUCCUUCCCCCUCCCCUGAUGUAUACCCUUCAUCCACCAUUUUCUAAAUACAAUGACGUUAUGAUAGAUCAGUAUUACAAGUUAGAUUGCAAUUCUGCCCUCUGAGCUAAGCCACGUAGUAUAUUAUGAUGAUCUUUCUAUCUGUGAACAACUUUUUGUAUUCCUUGGAGUUAGUGGUCAUCUUGGUUUUUCAUUUGUGGUCCAUCUGCCCUUUGUUUUUGUUUUUGUUUUUGUUUUUGUUUUUAGAGAUGGGGUCUCACUCCACCUGCCAUUUAUCCAGAAGUCAACAUUUAUUCUUCAACUCCCUCCACCUGGGCUUCUGCUCAAACCAGCCCAUUGAAACUCCUGUUGUCAAGGUGUUAAACUACUU
rnacentral:lncRNA from 10 species